rnacentral:rRNA from 1 species
CGUUCCCGGGCCUUGUACACGCCGCCCGUCACACCACGAAAGUCGGCAACACCCGAAGCCAGUGGCCCAACCCGCAAGGGGGGAGCUGUCGAAGGUGGGGUCGGUGAUUGGGUG